UACGAGGGGUGCAAGCGUUGCUCGGAAUUAUUGGGCGUAAAGGGUAGGUAGGUGGUCUCAUUUGUCUGGGGUGAAAGCCUUGAGCUUAACUCAAGAAGUGCCCCAGAAACGGUGAGACUGGAGUCUUGGAGAGGGUCGUGGAAUUCCCGGUGUAGCGGUGAAAUGCGCAGAUAUCGGGAGGAACACCAAUGGCGAAAGCAGGUAACUGGACUAUUACUGACACUCAGCUGCGAAAGCUAGGGGAGCAAACAGG
rnacentral:rRNA from 1 species